GACGAACGCUUGCGGCGUGCUUAACACAUGCAAGUCGAACGGAAAGGCCCUGCUUUUGUGGGGUGCUCGAGUGGCGAACGGGUGAGUAACACGUGAGUAACCUGCCCUUGACUUUGGGAUAACUUCAGGAAACUGGGGCUAAUACCGGAUAGGAGCUCCUGCUGCAUGGUGGGGGUUGGAAAGUUUCGGCGGUUGGGGAUGGACUCGCGGCUUAUCAGCUUGUUGGUGGGGUAGUGGCUUACCAAGGCUUUGACGGGUAGCCGGCCUGAGAGGGUGACCGGCCACAUUGGGACUGAGAUACGGCCCAGACUCCUACGGGAGGCAGCAGUGGGGAAUAUUGCACAAUGGGCGGAAGCCUGAUGCAGCAACGCCGCGUGCGGGAUGACGGCCUUCGGGUUGUAAACCGCUUUCGCCUGUGACGAAGCGUGAGUGACGGUAAUGGGUAAAGAAGCACCGGCUAACUACGUGCCAGCAGCCGCGGUGAUACGUAGGGUGCGAGCGUUGUCCGGAUUUAUUGGGCGUAAAGGGCUCGUAGGUGGUUGAUCGCGUCGGAAGUGUAAUCUUGGGGCUUAACCCCUGAGCGUGCUUUCGAUACGGGUUGACUUGAGGAAGGUAGGGGAGAAUGGAAUUCCUGGUGGAGCGGUGGAAUGCGCAGAUAUCAGGAGGAACACCAGUGGCGAAGGCGGUUCUCUGGGCCUUUCCUGACGCUGAGGAGCGAAAGCGUGGGGAGCGAACAGGCUUAGAUACCCUGGUAGUCCACGCUGUAAACGGUGGGUACUAGGUGUGGGGUCCAUUCCACGGGUUCCGUGCCGUAGCUAACGCUUUAAGUACCCCGCCUGGGGAGUACGGCCGCAAGGCUAAAGCUCAAAGGAAUUGACGGGGCCCCGCACAAGCGGCGGAGCAUGCGGAUUAAUUCGAUGCAACGCGUAGAACCUUACCUGGGUUUGACAUGGAUCGGGAGUGCUCAGAGAUGGGUGUGCCUCUUUUGGGGUCGGUUCACAGGUGGUGCAUGCCUGUCGUCAGCUCGUGUCGUGAGAUGUUGGGUUAAGUCCCGCAACGAGCGCAACCCUUGUUCACUGUUGCCAGCACGUUAUGGUGGGGACUCAGUGGAGACCGCCGGGGUCAACUCGGAGGAAGGUGGGGAUGACGUCAAGUCAUCAUGCCCCUUACGUCCAGGGCUUCACGCAUGCUACAAUGGCUGGUACAGAGAGUGGCGAGCCUGUGAGGGUGAGCGAAUCUCGGAAAGCCGGUCUCAGUUCGGAUUGGGGUCUGCAACUCGACCUCAUGAAGUCGGAGUCGCUAGUAAUCGCAGAUCAGCAACGCUGCGGUGAAUACGUUCCCGGGGCU
rnacentral:rRNA from 1 species